UCGGGAAUUUUGGGCAAUGGGCGAAAGCCUGACCGAGCGAUGCCGCGUGCGGGAUGAAGGCCUUCGGGUUGUAAACCGCUGUCGUAGGGGAGAAAGGGUCGUUGAAGAAACGACUUUGAUCUAUCCUAGGAGGAAGUCCGGGCUAAGUUCGUGCCAGCAGCCGCGGUAACACGAACCGGACAAACGUUAUUCGGAAUUACUGGGCUUAAAGGGUGCGUAGGCGGUGCGGUAAGUGCGGUGUGAAAUCCCACGGCUCAACCGUGGAAUUGCGCUGCAUACUGCCGUGCUAGAGGGAGACAGGGGUAAGCGGAACUGAUGGUGGAGCGGUGAAAUGCGUUGAUAUCAUCAGGAACACCGGUGGCGAAAGCGGCUUACUGGGUCUCUUCUGACGCUGAGGCACGAAAGCUAGGGUAGCGAACGGGAUUAGAUACCCGCGUAGUCCCUGAGCGGGCUGGCAAGGCGC
rnacentral:rRNA from 1 species